rnacentral:tRNA from 1 species
CCUGAUAGCUGAGUGGUAAAGAAUCUGCCUGCAAUGCAGGAGACCUUGGUUUGAUUCCUGGGUCAGGA